ensembl:lncRNA
CAGAAAUACAGCGAUGUUGCUUGUGUUAUAUUGCUUCAAUAACACUCCCAGCAUCACAAACUUGACAAAACUCCAAAAGUUUAAAAUCUUUACCAGAUCUUAACCAUAAAAUUCUAGUUAUCUCAGCUCAUGAGUCACCAGUGUGCUCACUUCUGAUUGGCUAACGCACCGCCGUCGCUCAUUGACAUGCAUGUCACGUUGGCUCCGAUUGGCCGUGAGUCAUUCAUCAGCAGCUUCCUGUAAAAAUCAAGUGCUUGCUGAGUAACCGCUCGCUCGGUCGCUAAUGCACUCGCUAAGUGAUUGGAGAACAGAGAAAGUCUGGGAACGACAUGCAAAUCACAAGAAGCUUUGCGCCGCACGCCAUAAUUGAGCGGCCACCCACUCUGUGCCUGAUCUUCAACAUCAGCUCGAUGCAAACAGAGGAACGCAGGCGAUCUCAGAAAUCUGCAGCCUUUCAUCUGUCAGAGUGACGCGUCUCUGUACGCUGGCAAAGACGGGUGACGACAACAAUGCCCAGUAGAGUUUUGUAGCCACACACACACACACAUACACACACACGCACACACACACACACACAUACAGAGGCAGCUUUGUGGGCCGAACAGAGAGACUGAACAAAGACUCUUGUGUCCGAGGCGUCUUCACAGCUGAGACGUUCGGCCGGUUUAGGACACUUCACCCCCGCACCCUGAAACCAUUUCAUCUCUUUAACGGCACUGUCUCAGGCUGCUCUCUGAUUCCUUUACCUGUCGGAUCUGAUUGAACUGUUCAUUUGCAUUACCUAAAAAUGUCAGUGUCGUGUUUCAUAUAUUAAAAAUAUAUACGUUGGUAAAUAUCAAUUAUCGCUUAAAUAGAAAUAUAAAGUAGAUAAAAUAAUUGUAAUAAUUUAUAUGUUAGUAAAUGUUGAUUAUCGCUUAAAUGAAUAAUGCACAUUUUAGAGUGGCCAGCCUAAGGCACACCUGUGCAAUAAUCAUGCUGUCUAAUCAGCAUCUUGAUAUGCCACACCUGUGUGGUGGAUGGAUUAUCUCUGCUCACUAACACAGAUUUAGACAGAUUUGUGAACAAUAUUUGAGAGAAAUAGGCCUUUUGUGUACAUAGAAAAAGUCUUAGAUCUUUGAGUUCAGCUCAUGAAAAAUGGGGGCAAAAACAAAAGUGUUGCGUUUAUAAUUUUGUUCAGUGUAGAUAUUGUAUAUGUGGUUUAUCACUUGCAUAUAAAUAAAAAUAUAAAUGUAAAAAAUAUGCA